rnacentral:rRNA from 1 species
UACGGGGGGGGCAAGCGUUGUUCGGAAUUAUUGGGCGUAAAGAGCGUGUAGGCGGCCAGAUAAGUCCGCUGUGAAAUCUCGAGGCUCAACUUCGAGCUGUCGGUGGAAACUAUCUGGCUAGAGUCCGGAAGAGGAGAGUGGAAUUCCUGGUGUAGCGGUGAAAUGCGCAGAUAUCAGGAAGAACACCAAUGGCGAAGGCAGCUCUCUGGGACGGUACUGACGCUGAGACGCGAAAGCGUGGGGAGCGAACAGG